rnacentral:tRNA from 1 species
UCCAAAGUAGCUCAAUGGCGGAGCACUCGGCUGUUAACCGAUAGGCUGUGGGUUCGAGUCCCACCCUUGGAGCCA